CCUACGGGUGGCAGCAGUGAGGAAUAUUGGUCAAUGGACGCAAGUCUGAACCAGCCAUGCCGCGUGCAGGAAGACGGCUCUAUGAGUUGUAAACUUCUUUUGUACGAGGGUAAACGCAGAUACGUGUAUCUGUCUGAAUGUCUCGUACGAAUAAGGAUCGGCUAACUCCGUGCCAGCAGCCGCGGUAAUACGGAGGAUUCAAGCGUUAUACGGAUUUAUUGGGUUUAAAGGGUGCGUAGGCGGUCGGAUAAGUUAGAGGGGAAAUCCCGAGGCUUAACGUCGGACGUGCCUUUGAAACUGUUAGGCUAGAGUGUAGUUGCGGUAGGCGGAAUGUAUGGUGUAGCGGUGAAAUGCUUAGAGAUCAUACAGAACACCGAUUGCGAAGGCAGCUUACCAAGCUACUUCUGACGUUGAGGCACGAAAGCGUGGGGAGCAAACAGGAUUAGAUACCCCUGUAGUC
rnacentral:rRNA from 1 species